GAUGAACGCUGGCGGCGUGCCUAACACAUGCAAGUCGAGCGGGAGCGAAAGCUCCAGCGGCGGACGGGUGAGUAACGCGUGGGUAACCUACCUUAUACAGGGGGAUAACGUUGAGAAAUCAACGCUAAAACCGCAUAAGCUCAAAGGAUCGCAUGAUUUUUUGAGGAAAUAUUUAUAGGUAUAAGAGGGGCCCGCGGCUGAUUAGCUAGUUGGUGAGGUAAAAGCCCACCAAGGCGACGAUCAGUAGCCGACCUGAGAGGGUGAUCGGCCACAUUGGGACUGAGACACGGCCCAAACUCCUACGGGAGGCAGCAGUGGGGAAUAUUGCGCAAUGGACGAAAGUCUGACGCAGCAACGCCGCGUGAAGGAAGAAGGUCUUCGGAUUGUAAACUUCUAUCGAUGGGGAAGAAUAAUGACGGUACCCAGGUAAGAAGCCCCGGCUAACUACGUGCCAGCCGCCGCAGUAAAAC
rnacentral:rRNA from 1 species